CAAUAGCGUAUAUUAAAGUUGUUGCGGUAAAAAAGCUCGUAGUUGGAUUUCUACCGAAGAUAGCCGGUCGGGUCUUCGACCUUGUAUCUGGUUUUGUCUUUGGUAUCCUCAUAGGGAACGUUUCUGCGCUUUAUUGCGUGGUGCGGUAUCUAUGACUUUUACUUUGAGGAAAUUAGAGUGUUCACGGCAGGCAAACGCCUUGAAUAUAUUAGCAUGGAAUAAUAACAUAGGAUCUUCGUCCUAUUUUGUUGGUUUCUAGGGCUAAGAUAAUGAUUAAUAGGGAUAAUUGGGGGCAUCUAUAUCAACGCGUCAGAGGUGGAAUUCUUGGAUUGCGUUGCGACAAACUACUGCGAAAGCAUUUGCCAAGGAUGUUUUCAUUGA
rnacentral:rRNA from 1 species